GCUGGGCAUGGUGGUGCAUGCCUAUAAUCCCAGCUACUUGGGAGGCUGAGGCAGGAGAAUUGCUUGAGCCUGGGAGGUGGAGGUUGCAGUGAGCUGAAAUUGCGCCACUGAACUCCAGCCUGGGUAACAGAGCGAGACCCAGUCUCAA
rnacentral:SRP_RNA from 1 species